AAUCAACGCUGGCGGCGUGCCUAACACAUGCAAGUCGAACGCGAAAGUCCCGCAAGGGGCAAGUAGAGUGGCAAACGGGUGAGUAACACGUGGGUGACCUGCCUUCGAGUGGGGGAUAACGUCCCGAAAAGGGACGCUAAUACCGCAUGACAUCCUGCUUUUGGAAAAGCGGAGAUCAAAGCCGGGGAUCGCAAGACCUGGCGCUCGAAGAGGGGCCCGCGCCUGAUUAGCUAGUUGGNGAGGUACGCUCACCAGCUACGAUCAGUAUCCGGCUGAGAGGGCGGACGACACAC
rnacentral:rRNA from 1 species